UAUAAUGAAUGACAUUUUUAUACAUUUGUAAAUUAAAUGAAUUCAGAGAGUUCGGAAACUGGAUGAACUAAAGCUCUGUGAUAGUGAGUAAUAUAAUAAGCACACGAGAAAAAUGGAAAUCAAAACCACCAAACUAAAUUCUUUAAAUAUAAAUCAAAGGAGAAUCAGAAAUAGUAUUUGGUCCGUGGCAACACUGUGUGCUCGUGUGUACUCGCUCAUUCACGUCUGUCAGAUGCCGUGCACUCAACGGUGCUGCUGCUUCUCUCAGCCACUCAAUGAACAGAGUAGACGCUAAGAGAGGUGUGAUGGCAGCGGGAAAGCAAGACCUCGCGCUCACAGGACAGUGCUGGUGACAUUUGAAAAGUUACUGAGGUUUGUCCAAAAAGUCGCUAGAUUUGUCGCUAGGCGCUUUUUUGAAAAAUUGUCGCCAAAGGGGUCUGAAAAGUCGCUAAGUUGGCAACACUGGUACUGCGCAUGCGCAUCAUUUCGCUCUGUAACGGUCGACUUCCAGCAGACGGACACAGAGUAAAAGCAGCUGGAGAAGAGACAGCCUGUGCAGCAACAACAAGACAACAAUAAUUAUAAGCAGGGGUGGACUGCAGGGGUCCAGGAUCAAGAGAUCAUUCAUCAUGCAGACCAUGUUCCAGGAGAAGCAGCGUUAUACUGGGUCUGCUUGAUCAUUUUGUUGUCCUGGAUGUGAGAACAUGGUCAAAAGGUGUGUCAAUCAGCAUCCAGCCAUAAAAGCAGCCUUCUCGUUAAAAGGCUCAGGAGGACAAACAGCUGCCAGAGGAGGAUGAUGAUGGCAGUGGUGACUGAGGUGACAGUGCAGCUCAGGAUGAAGAGGAGGAACAUCUUCCAGUUUGCCAAAAUCCAAAGUGAAUAUAUAGAGACAUCCUCCUAUCCUUGCCUCAGAAGAACCUGAGAGACCCUCUUCCUCUUCUCUCACAGCUCUCCAUCAUCUACCUCUACAACACUGUUGGCAAGAGUGUUCUACACAGCUGAGGACACGGUAAUGAGAGAUCUCAAAUUCUUCCUGAGAAAGUCCGCAUGUUCAUGUUCUUGAACAAAAACUGUACAUGUAUUUUUGGGUGGGCCAAACUAUUUGAAGAAAUGCUAAAAAUCUCUAUAUUGUUCUUUAUACAUAUCUUACUCUUUAUGAAUGUCAUCUUCUGGAUUUUUUUAGCUUUUGAGAAGCUCAAGGACUGUAUAUCUUUGGUAAUUGUGAUAUUGUCUGGCAGUAAAGCAGUAUUAAAGCACAUUACCUCAGUAUAUUUGUAGCAGCUGCCUCAUACAGGACACUUAGGAAAUGGUUUAAAAUAUAUUUUUUGCAAAUAAAGUAAUAAAAUAUCUGCUGAA